rnacentral:lncRNA from 1 species
GGGACCUGUGAUUGCUUGAAGCUUCCAACAGGAAAGCACGGUGCUUGCUUUAUCCACUUCCCUUGCUGUUGGAGAAGACAGGUGGCCAAAUGCUGGUCAAGGAAGUACGAGGAAAAAUCUGCUGGGGUAUUGAGGGAAACUCAGAAGAGCUUGAUGGUGUUAGCGUUUGAAAACACAGAUGUAUUUUAUUACACACAAAAAAGUCCUAAUGCCACAAUGCAAUCUUCUCCCCUCUUGGGGUGUGUAGUAGGCUGCCCUAGAUAAGUCUGUGUGGGUACAUUCUAUCACAUUCACAGCACGGUGACACUGCCCAGUGACACAUUUCUAGGACUUACUGGCAUUAUUAAGCAAUACAUGACUAUAUAUUCAUGUACUAAUUUGAUUAAAUUUGGAGCUAGUGAAAGUGUGUUGAAGCUUCCAGAUAUUUUAUUCUGAAUUAUUUGGUGUCUUCCUGGGACCACGGGCAGCAGCAAAGAAAGGUGAAGACACAUAGCCAACAGGAGCCAUAGUGACCAUGGUGGGGCACCCAGCCCUGUAUUGUUGGGAGGAAAGAGCUACUUGGGUUACCUGUGUGUGAGGAUGGGCUCCCAGGGAAAAGCGAAAUUCAUUACUAGAAACUAUUCCAGUGGAAAAUUGAAGAAAAAGGAUAAAAAGAGACAAAAGGAAGAACACAUCCAACACUAGCUAUGGAUGCAAGCCUGAACCUUCCUUGAAGUACAGCGGUCAUCUCAUGCCCACAGAUGAGCACAGGAAAGAAAUGGGCACCGUACAGGUGGCAGAAACAGAGCGGGAAGCGGGAGCGCUGUCCUUGAGCUAUCAGAGCUGCCUUUGCCU